UGUUGUCGGCUUAUUCAAAAUCUAGAAGGAAUGCUUAAGGCAAAGUUUAGGAGGCUGUGUUGUAUGGCCGGGGGCCUAAGUGACUGUCAGAGAGGAGUUGGUUAGAAACAAUAUUGGAUACUGUCGGCAACAUGUCAGUAUGUCUGCAGUUUCCCCAAGAAAGGCCAAAGGGUCAGAUGUCAGUUGCCAGUGCUAUUCCAAUACAUAUUUAUAAUAGUGAUUUGAAACGUGGUUGGUGCUAAAUUAGAUGUUGGAGUUUCUUCAGAAA
rnacentral:lncRNA from 1 species